CGCAUGCUUGGUAAAGUAGUGCAUUUUUUUUAUUUUUUUUAUUUUCAUCACAGGGGAAGACACAUCAUAGAUAAAUAUGCGUCUUGAGUGUAGAAUGUGUUUUUUAUUUGGGAAGAACAUUUUGAGUACUAAUAAUAAUUGGGUUAGUUUUAAUAGUUAAUAUAUAGUGUUACCGUUUUUUGUUUCAAGGAGCAAUCUGACUGCAAUUUUUGUCUGCCUUCC